rnacentral:rRNA from 1 species
UACGAAGGGGGGCUAGCGUUGCUCGGAUUGACUGGGCGUAAAGGGCGCGUAGGCGGUUCGUACAGUCAGACGUGAAAAUUCCUGGGCUCAACCUGGGGGCUGCGUUUGAUACGUGCGGACUUGAGUGCGGAAGAGGGUCGUGGAAUUCCCAGUGUAGAGGUGAAAUUCGUAGAUAUUGGGAAGAACACCGGUGGCGAAGGCGGCGACCUGGUCCGAUACUGACGCUGAGGCGCGAAAGCCAGGGGAGCAAACGGG